rnacentral:tRNA from 1 species
GGAGAGAUGGUUGAGCGGUUUAAGGCACACGCUUGGAAAGCGUGCGUACGUGAAAGCGUACCGGGGGUUCGAAUCCCCCUCUCUCCG